UACGUAGGGUCCGAGCGUUGUCCGGAGUUACUGGGCGUAAAGCGCGCGCAGGCGGCCGUUCAAGUCUGGCGUGAAAGCCCCCGGCUCAACCGGGGAGGGUCGUCGGAGACUGGGCGGCUUGAGGGCGGCAGGGGUUGGUGGAAUUCCCGGUGUAGUGGUGAAAUGCGUAGAGAUCGGGAGGAACACCCGUGGCGAAGGCGGCCAACUGGGCCGACUCUGACGCUGAGGCGCGAAGGCGUGGGGAGCGAACGGG
rnacentral:rRNA from 1 species